GGAGCUGUGGCGUAGCAGGUAAAGCCACGGCCUGCAGUGCCGGCAUCCCAUAUGGGCACCAGGUUUGAGUCCCGGCUGCUCCA
rnacentral:tRNA from 1 species